rnacentral:rRNA from 1 species
GAUGAACGCUGGCGGCGUGCCUAACACAUGCAAGUCGAGCGUGAACCCUGCGAAUGAAACUUCGGUCGAUUUUGCAGGGGGAAAGCGGCGGACGGGUGAGUAACGCGUAGGUAACCUGCCCCAUACUGAGGGAUAGCCUCGGGAAACCGGGAUUAAUACCUCAUAACACCGUAUAUUCGCAUGGAUGUGCGGUCAAAGAUUUAUCGGUAUGGGAUGGGCCUGCGUCUGAUUAGCUGGUUGGUGGGGUAACGGCCUACCAAGGCGACGAUCAGUAGCCGACCUGAGAGGGUGAUCGGCCACAUUGGAACUGAGACACGGUCCAAACUCCUACGGGAGGCAGCAGUGGGGAAUAUUGCACAAUGGGCGAGAGCCUGAUGCAGCAACGCCGCGUGAGCGAAGAAGGCCUUUGGGUCGUAAAGCUCUGUCGGGUAGGAAGAUAAUGACGGUACUACCCGAGGAAGCCCCGGCUAACUACGUGCCAGCAGCCGCGGUAAUACGUAGGGGGCGAGCGUUAUCCGGAAUUACUGGGCGUAAAGAGUGCGUAGGUGGCUGCUUAAGCGUGAGGUGAAAGGCAAUGGCUUAACCAUUGUGAGCCUCGCGAACUGGGUGGCUUGAGUGCAGGAGAGGAAAGCGGAAUUCCUAGUGUAGCGGUGAAAUGCGUAGAUAUUAGGAGGAACACCAGUGGCGAAGGCGGCUUUCUGGACUGCAACUGACACUGAGGCACGAAAGCGUGGGGAGCAAACAGGAUUAGAUACCCUGGUAGUCCACGCCGUAAACGAUGAGCACUAGGUGUCGGGGUCGCAAGACUUCGGUGCCGCAGUUAACGCAUUAAGUGCUCCGCCUGGGGAGUACGCACGCAAGUGUGAAACUCAAAGGAAUUGACGGGGACCCGCACAAGCAGCGGAGCAUGUGGUUUAAUUCGAAGCAACGCGAAGAACCUUACCAGGGCUUGACAUCCCUCUGACAGGUGGGUAACGCCACCCUCUCUUCGGAGCAGAGGUGACAGGUGGUGCAUGGUUGUCGUCAGCUCGUGUCGUGAGAUGUUGGGUUAAGUCCCGCAACGAGCGCAACCCUUGUCAUUAGUUGCCAUCAGGUGAUGCUGGGCACUCUAAUGAGACUGCCGGGGAUAACUCGGAGGAAGGUGGGGAUGACGUCAAAUCAUCAUGCCCCUUAUGUUCUGGGCUACACACGUGCUACAAUGGCCGGUACAGCGAGAGGCGAACCCGCGAGGGGGAGCAAAACUCCAAAACCGGUCCCAGUUCGGAUUGCAGGCUGAAACUCGCCUGCAUGAAGUCGGAGUUGCUAGUAAUCGCGAAUCAGCAUGUCGCGGUGAAUGCGUUCCCGGGUCUUGUACACACCGCCCGUCACACCACGGAAGUUGGGGGCGCCCGAAGUCGGUCAGUAAAUAGGCUGCCUAAGGCGAAACCAAUGACUGGGGUG